rnacentral:lncRNA from 1 species
UCCAAUGGUCCUCAUUUGAUCCCUCAUAGAGUAUUUAAGGCUCAAUAAUCAGGAUUUCGUCCCAUUUCAAUCUCCCAAACCCUAGAGCCCCCUCUCUUCUCUCCCACUCCACCUCUGCUGCCAUCGCCGCUCUGUAUGGCGGCACCACCGUCUACCGCCUUCCACUGGCGUCCAAUCGACCCUAUGUUUUCACUAUCUCCUUGUCUCUUCCUCCUCUUUCCAUAUAAAGGCCUCAUAUUCUCCAAAACUCUACAAAUCUCCAUAAAUCUUAGAAAAUUUGGAGCCCUAGCCGCCAUUUUUUUCAUAAUUUCGGAAAGAUUGAACCCCUUUCUCAACCUAAUGUUUUCAUACAUAGAGCUCAGCGGGGACUAUCUUUCCAUGUUGGUAUUAACCCUAAAAACCGACCACCAAAAAUUCAGCAAAUUCGCCAGUUGCUUCUCUUCUCUCCUGCCCUAUCCCCGACCCCAGAACAUCAUUUUCUUGCUGGAAUGACAAUGGAAUUAAUAUCCGAAUUGCCGAAAUGUUAUUAUUCUAGCGUCUUCCCGCUAGAAAUGGGUGUUCAAGGGUCGGAUCGAUGUUACUCAUUGACUUUGCCAUUCUCUGAGUUGCUCGAGUCAGCAUAAGGUUCCCUUGUUGGGUAAAAUCUUAAUUCCAUUUACUGAUUUUUUAUUUUUCUUCAUAAUUAGUAUUAGUUUUAAGUUUUGUCUUAAUUUUUUGUUUUUUCUGUUUGUUUAAUCUGUUUCUGACUGCGUCCUUAUUUAGUUAGUUUAUUUGGAUUACUUAUGUCACUGUUAAUAUGGUGUUUGCUUAAUCGACAUAUUUUAUUUUGUAUCGAAUUAAUUAUAUUAGCAUUAGUUUAAUUUUUGAAGUUUGAAUGCUAAAUUUUCUGUUUUUGCACUUGUUAAAGUAGUAUGAUGGUUUGAUAUUAGUUUGUGAAAUGUGUAAUGUAAAUAAUGAAGUAGGAUACAUGUUUGGUUUACUUUUUAUUGUUUGUGGACUAUUUGGAGUACAAUACUCCAAACAUUGUUCAUAGUUUGUAAAAGUUUAUCCUUUGGAUAAUUUUUUGACAAAAAAAUUGUCCUUUGAAUAGUUUGGACAUAUUUUUGGUGAAAAUCUGUCAUUUGGAUAGAUUGAUAAUAAUUCAAGGUCUUCCCUUUCCUAUGAAAAGAGGGUCUUUCUUUCACUUUUAAAAGAACAAACACGAUCUAUCACACUGCGCCAUCAUCUUUUACAUUAACAACUUUGAGAAUAAAAAACAGCAGUUGAACACCUAAAUGGUAAGCUUAUAAUCCUGAGCUUAGUGAGUGUUUCUUAGAGUGCAAAAACCCUUGAAAAAAUAGAAGGAUCCCUUUGGAAAUUCAUGAUCAUGAAGUUGUUAGCUACUAGUUCCAAGCAUCCUUGUUGAGUAUUCUGGGUUAUCAUAACAUUGAGUUGCUGCUAUCUUUAUUGCUAUUUCUGCUGCUAUUCUUGCUCAUUCUAGUGUUGUAUUUUUGUAAUUCUGUGAUCUAGGUAACCUUGAAUUUCGCAAUGCAGAUUUUUCUAUCAAAUUAUUGAAGAUAUGAGUCCGUUCAACUCUUUGGAUGAUGUACUUUACUAGAAUAGUUGAAUGUUUAGCAUGCUACUCGUGUUUUAAACUUGUAAAAUUAUAAUAUUUGGCUUAAUAUUCAAUUCCACUUUAAAUCCGUAGCUUAUACAAACCUUCUGCUAAGUUCCUUAGCCAAUGUAAAUACGCGUUUUCAGUGCCAAAAGCUCUCUCUUUGCUUUGGUUUUAUUUUUGAGUUGUGUUACCUUACGAGGCCUCUUAGUGCUAAAAACGUAAUUGAUAGUACUACUUCUUUUCUUGUUUAAAUUGAGUUGAAGUUGGGAAAUAGUAUAUGAUAUAAUGAGUGUGUU